rnacentral:miRNA from 1 species
UUAAAAGUGAAGAAGUCAAGGGGAAUAAUGCACAGGCAUAAAAAGUUCCCUCAAGGGAACUGUGCAUUAUUCCUCUUGACUUCUUCACUUUUAAGAUACGGA